UCCUGGUGGCUCAGAGGUUAAAGCAUCUGCCUGCGAUGCUGGAGACCUGGGUUCUAUCCCUGGAUCAGGAA
rnacentral:tRNA from 1 species